CCUACGGGGGGCUGCAGUGGGGAAUAUUGCGCAAUGGGGGGAACCCUGACGCAGCAACGCCGCGUGAAGGAUGAAGGCCUUCGGGUUGUAAACUUCUUUGAUUGGGGAAGAAUUUUGACGGUACCCAAAAAACAAGCCACGGCUAACUACGUGCCAGCAGCCGCGGUAAUACGUAGGUGGCAAGCGUUAUCCGGAAUUACUGGGUGUAAAGGGCGUGUAGGCGGGGAUGCAAGUCAGAUGUGAAAUUCCAAGGCUUAACCUUGGCGGUGCAUCUGAAACUGUGUCUCUUGAGUACUGGAGAGGAAAGUGGAAUUCCUAGUGUAGCGGUGAAAUGCGUAGAGAUUAGGAGGAACACCAGUGGCGAAGGCGACUUUCUGGACAGUAACUGACGCUGAGGCGCGAAAGCGUGGGGAGCAAACAGGAUUAGAUACCCCUGUAGUC
rnacentral:rRNA from 1 species